rnacentral:rRNA from 1 species
AUUGAACGCUGGCGGCAGGCCUAACACAUGCAAGUCGAGCGAGCGGCGGACGGGUGAGUAAUGUCUGGGGACUGCCCGAUAGAGGGGGAUAACUACUGGAAACGGUGGCUAAUACCGCAUACUAUCGGAUAACCCAUAUGGGAUUAGCUAGUAGGUGGGGUAAAGGCUCACCUAGGCGACGAUCUCUAGCUGGUCUGAGAGGAUGAUCAGCAACACGGGGACGGAGAAACGGCCCAGACUCCUACGGAGGAAGCAGGGGGGAAAAUUGCACAAUGGGCGCAAGCCGGAUGAAGCCAGGCCGCGUGUAUGAAGAAGGCCUUAGGUUUGUAAAGUACUUUCAGCGGGGAGGCGUUACCCGCAGAAGAAGCACCGGCUAACUCCGUGCAAGCCGCCGCGGUAAUAC